AACUAACGCUGGCGGCGCGCCUAAUACAUGCAAGUCGAACGAUGUAGCAAUACAUAGUGGCGCACGGGAGAGUAACACGUGGAUAAUCUCCCCUCGAGAGAGGAAUAACUAGUCGAAAGAUUGGCUAAUACUUCAUAAGACCACAGAAACUAAUGUUUCAGGGGUAAAAGUCGUAAGACGCUUGAGGAUGAGUCUGCGUCCCAUUAGCUAGUUGGUGAGGUAAAAGCCUACCAAGGCGACGAUCUUUAGCUGGUCUGAGAGGAUGAUCAGCCACACUGGGACUGAGACACGGCCCAGACUCCUACGGGAGGCAGCAGUGGGGAAUAUUGGACAAUGGGCGAAAGCCUGAUCCAGCAAUGCCGCGUGAGUGAUGAAGGCCCUAGGGUUGGUAAAGCUCUUUUACCAGGGAUGAUAAUGACAGUACCUGGAGAAUAAGCUCCGGCUAACUCCGUGCCAGCAGCCGCGGUAAU
rnacentral:rRNA from 1 species